GAUGAACGCUGGCGGCGUGCCUAAUACAUGCAAGUCGAGCGAACGGACGAGAAGCUUGCUUCUCUGAUGUUAGCGGCGGACGGGUGAGUAACACGUGGAUAACCUACCUAUAAGACUGGGAUAACUUCGGGAAACCGGAGCUAAUACCGGAUGAUAUUUUGAACCGCAUGGUUCAAAAGUGAAAGACGGUCUUGCUGUCACUUAUAGAUGGAUCCGCGCUGCAUUAGCUAGUUGGUAAGGUAACGGUUUACCAAGGCAACGAUGCAUAGCCGACCUGAUAGGGUGAUCAGCCACACUGGAACUGAGACACGGUCCAGACUCCGACGGGAGGCAGCAGUAGGGAAUCUUCCGCAAUGGGCGAAAGCCUGACGGAGCAACGCCGCGUGAGUGAUGAAGAUCUUCGGAUCGUAAAACUCUGUUAUUAGGGAAGAACAUAUGUGUAAGUAACUGUGCACAUCUUGACGGUACCUAAUCAGAAAGCCACGGCUAACUACGUG
rnacentral:rRNA from 1 species